rnacentral:rRNA from 1 species
CAAUAGCGUAUAUUAAAGUUGUUGCAGUUAAAAAGCUCGUAGUUGGAUUUCUGGUCGGAAGCUCCUGUCCUCUGAUGAGCGUACAAGUGCGUCCUACCAUCCUUCUGUUAACCUUUAAGGCUUUCGCGGCUUUCUAGGGGCUCAGAUAUUUUACCUUGAGAAAAUUAGAGUGUUUCAGGCAGGCUAGCGCCGGAAUACAUUAGCAUGGAAUAAUGGAAUAGGACUUUUGCCUCUUCUGUUGGUCAUGAGGCUCGAGUAAUGAUUAAUAGGGAUAGUUGGGGGCAUUAGUACUUAACUGUCAGAGGUGAAAUUCUCGGAUUUGUUAAAGACUAACUUAUGCGAAAGCAUUGGCCAAGGAUGUUUUCAUUA